GAUGAACGCUGGCGGCGUGCCUAAUACAUGCAAGUCGAGCGAACAGAUAAGGAGCUUGCUCCUUUGACGUUAGCGGCGGACGGGUGAGUAACACGUGGGUAACCUACCUAUAAGACUGGGAUAACUUCGGGAAACCGGAGCUAAUACCGGAUAAUAUUUCGAACCGCAUGGUUCGAUAGUGAAAGAUGGUUUUGCUAUCACUUAUAGAUGGACCCGCGCCGUAUUAGCUAGUUGGUAAGGUAACGGCUUACCAAGGCGACGAUACGUAGCCGACCUGAGAGGGUGAUCGGCCACACUGGAACUGAGACACGGUCCAGACUCCUACGGGAGGCAGCAGUAGGGAAUCUUCCGCAAUGGGCGAAAGCCUGACGGAGCAACGCCGCGUGAGUGAUGAAGGUCUUCGGAUCGUAAAACUCUGUUAUUAGGGAAGAACAUACGUGUAAGUAACUGUGCACGGCUUGACGGUACCUAAUCAGAAAGCCACGGCUAACUACGUG
rnacentral:rRNA from 1 species